GCCAGGUUUCACCCAGCGGGGCCGCCCGGCUAGAAGCGAGCCGCUGAGGCCUGGGACGUCAGCGCUGCGCUCCCCCUUGUACGCCACGAGCUGUGCCUACACGAGGUUAUGGAGCUCUGGAGCCAUCCCAAGCAGUGCAGGGGAGGAUCUCUGAGUGUGCUCCAGGCUCAAAGAAACUUCCCUAGGGAAGGCCACAUCACAAACUCAUGUCUACUUCAGCAUGAUGCAUGUAGGAGUCUAGCACGUCUCUGAACACUUGAGCCUGGUUGUCUGUGUGAGGAGAUCUGCCACAGGCCUCCUGCUGCACUACUUGCCUGCUCCCUAUCCUUCAUGCUGCACCCUCGAUUAAGGCGCUGCUGGUGCCUCAGGACGGCCUCAGGACGGCUUUUCCAUGGGCACGGGGGAGAUUCCUCAGCUCGCAUCUCUCCAGACAGGUUGCUGAGUGCAAGGCAAGCCUUCAAAGCCCUGAAGCAGGAGAAACGAUUGCUUUCACUCUGGCCAAAUUCUCACAAGUUGAACAGACAGACCUGAUCAAGCUUAAAGGACCCUGCAGCUACAAACAGAUAUCCAAGCAUACAGAAGUACAGGAUCUGAGAAACAGUCCAGGAAGGAGAGAGCCGUGUGCCGAACUGCUGAGCCAAGACCAGAGUCAACCCUGAGCCCUCCUCACUACAAGGCAGACCCCACACCAUCGCUGGAGGAAGGGGUCUCAGAACAUUUUACAGGGGAGACUAACACUGCGGAUUGGAAAAUUUCACUUCUUGAGGCUUCCGGAGACUUGUUCAAAGCAGCCAGAGGAGCCAAGGAUGUGGCCUGCAAACGUUGAGUCCGUAUCACGUGCCGUAGCUCCAAGGCCCAAAUAUUCUGCGCUCCUGACCUUGGCGUUUCUCCCAGGCUGCCUGCACUGGCCGGGCUGGCAAUGGGGAACUCGUUGAAGGCCAGUCACAGCGCACAGAGCAGUUUCAGGACAGGUCGUUUCUCAUGGCCAUGCGUGAUCACCUGCACUACCUCUGGGGCGGAUUUCUGACACAUGAGAUAGCCCUUUGAAGUGGGCAGAAAGGGUUGAAUUUGUAGGGAGGGCGCUCUGUUCACAGUGUGUGAGGCAGUGUGGAUCCCUUCUCCCAAAGUGGACUCUCUUCACUUUCAACUCCAAGUUUCGGAAGGAGUUCAUUUAAAAUUGGGAACAUAUGGCGCUUUUUCUUCUUUUGCUGGCACCAUUAAACGUCAAGUUGAAGGGAAACAUAAUACAUCACCCUCCUCGUGGGCUGCCAUUCAGCCAAGAGUAACAGAGAUUAGCCUUCAAUCACACAGGGGCUGGAGCUGAAGGAAACCUUCCCGAGGACACAGUGGAGAAAUAUUUUCAUUAGCGGAGGAGAACCUGACAGAGAUGAAGUGCACUCUCACCUCGAACGCCGGACCUCUCCCCUGCCUGAUGUUAACAGGAUGAGGAAAAUGCUAACGAAGGAGCUUGUGCCAGCUGCAAUAUUUUAAGUGCUGUCUGUAUCCAGAUGUGAGAAACAGCUGUGAUGCAGCUAAAAAGUACUUUUAUAGCCCAGUGUGGGGCAGCGUGGUUUUUUUCCUGCCUGUUGACCAGUACUCAUUGCUGGAAUCAAGCUGGCUCUCUCCAAGCUGUCAACUGCAUGGAAGAAAUGGGUGUUAGGUAGUGAGCCAUGUACCCGAACAGGUACCCUAGCAUAGGUCAGAAAAAGAUGUCCUUGGGUGAUAAGCUCCAGGCUCUAGGAGGUAUCAUGGACUCUGCCUUCUACAUCUUUUGGAAAUAUGUCCAGACUGCCUUUAGGGUUCUGAGGUUUUCUCUGCUUCUCUCCCUGGAAAGCAGUUUCACAACCUGCAACCCACUAUCACCGCCACAAUCAUCUCUUAGUCUCCGUCCUCCCAGGGCAAUCAAGAUGCUCAGGACUCACUUUUGCUGCUGGUGUCUCUCUUGCGUAGGAGAAACAGAGCCUGUGCCCCAGCUUGGCGCCUGGCACAGAACUGUCUUUCCCAGUUACUGUGAAUUAGCCGCCAGGAUCUCUGCGAUCGGAGUCUACCUUCCCCCACCUUGGCUAUCUCAUCUCCCUGGGGCCAGCAUGCUCCCGACAAAGCUGUGAUCCAGUCUCUUUCACUCACCGUUGAAGGAUGCCUCGCCUGGUCCUUGCAGCUUGGAGGGAAAUCGUUUUGUGUGGCACACUCCUUUGUAGGGCAAGAAAAAAAAAGGAAAAACAGAAGAAAAAACAAACAGCAAAAAA